GUGGGGAAUAUUGGGCAAUGGGCGAAAGCCUGACCCAGCAACGCCGCGUGAAGGAAGAAGGUUUUCGGAUCGUAAACUUCUAUCCUUGGUGAAGAUAAUGACGGUAGCCAAGAAGGAAGCCCCGGCUAACUACGUGCCAGCAGCCGCGGUAAUACGUAGGGGGCAAGCGUUGUCCGGAAUGAUUGGGCGUAAAGGGCGCGUAGGCGGCCCGGUAAGUCUGAAGUGAAAGUCCUGCUUUUAAGGUGGGAAUUGCUUUGGAUACUGUCGGGCUUGAGUGCAGGAGAGGUAAGCGGAAUUCCCAGUGUAGCGGUGAAAUGCGUAGAGAUUGGGAGGAACACCAGUGGCGAAGGCGGUUUGCUGGGCCAUAACUGACGCUGAGGCACGAAAGCGUGGGGAGCAAAUAGGAUUAGAUACCCCAGUAGUCC
rnacentral:rRNA from 1 species